CACGGACCAUGAACUCCAUCUCUGCCUCCAGUUAAGUCUAAUCCUGACUAAAUGUAUUCACCCUCUUCCCCUAUCUGCACCAGGACUGAAGAUGACUCCUGUGGGAAGCCCAGCAGCUGAAGGACCAGAGUUUUCCACACAGACUUGCAUGAAUAAGUAAAACUGGCAGCUGCAAUGUGUUUUGAAAAUGCUACGAGUGUUUCACUGUGAGCAGCCUGUGCAGCGUGGUAGACUGAAAUAUUUCAUGUC
rnacentral:lncRNA from 1 species